AGAGUUUGAUCAUGGCUCAGGAUGAACGCUGGCGGCGUGCUUAACACAUGCAAGUCGAACGAUGAAGCACAGCUUGCUGUGUGGAUUAGUGGCGAACGGGUGAGUAACACGUGAGCAACCUGCCCUGGACUCUGGGAUAAGCGCUGGAAACGGCGUCUAAUACUGGAUAUGAGCCUCUAUCGCAUGGUGGGGGUUGGAAAGAUUUUUUGGUCUGGGAUGGGCUCGCGGCCUAUCAGCUUGUUGGUGAGGUAAUGGCUCACCAAGGCGUCGACGGGUAGCCGGCCUGAGAGGGUGACCGGCCAUACUGGGACUGAGACUCGGCCCAGACUCCUACGGGAGGCAGCAGUGGGGAAUAUUGCACAAUGGGCGGAAGCCUGAUGCAGCAACGCCGCGUGAGGGAUGACGGCCUUCGGGUUGUAAACCUCUUUUAGCAAGGACGAAGCGCAAGUGACGGUACCUGCAGAAGAAGCACCGGCUAACUACGUGCCAGCAGCCGCGGUAAUAC
rnacentral:rRNA from 1 species